UGGGGGAAACUUCACUGACAACUUGGAAGAGACAGGCAAAAGCUGAGCAGCUGUCUGAGAGAGUCACUGGGCUGGAACAGUGUUUGUAGUAACCAGGAGGAUCUGAGUGUGUAGAGUCUGAGAACAGAGAGCAUGCUGGGUAAUCCUGUUACAUACCAGGCUAUUAUGGCUAACGCAGGCCCUGUGACUUCUGCUCCUUCUUGUCCCUUAUGUUUCAUAGAGCUCAUUCCCAACCACCCAGGCGCCUACCACUCUCAACAUUAAACCUCCCCAGUGCCCUUAGGGCCCUGGCCACAGUUUGUAAUGAAGAAUUUGUUUGCAGAGCAAGAUGUUGGUUUGCUUUCCAGCCCUGUCCUGGUCUCUGGGCAAUCUGACAGCAAAGGGCACAUACAUCUGACUGCUCUGUGCUGCACUUCCUGAGCACUUAGCAAAGGAACGCCUAACAUCCUGGUAAUCCUUUACACCAAUUCCGAAUACCUGAAUUUUCCUACUUACUGAAGGUUACUUAUAAUCCCCAAAUCAAUAUCAGGGUGCUUUCUCUGUCAGAUAUGGACAUGCGUAUGCCCGGGAGGAUAAAAGAAUCACCAACGAACACUUUUGCAGUUGAGGUCAACAGAGAAAUACUCUCUUAUCUGUGUACCUGUGUGGCAUAUUCCCUUGCCUUCCGCCAUGAUGAAUUCUGUCCCACUGGAACUAACCACCAGUGUAGACUCUGCUUUACCGGUGCGGAAGAUGCCUUGCUUCUCCUCUGGGGAAAUGAAAGCUUAAAUACCCAUGAUGGCUGGGCUUGGCUGUUAACUUGACACACCUGAGAAGAGGAGAGACUUCACCCAGGAGCUGCAGCUGUCUUUGAGCCCCUGCGCUCCUACAAAUAGGCCCAAUAAACCCACUGGUUCACAUGCCGCACUCUCUUUUUGAGUCUGCUAGGGCCCUAUCUGUGGUGAACAGAUAGGCGUUUGUGUCUUCCCAAGAAAGUCACACAAUGCAGUAACUUGUAGAAACGCCAGAAAUGGAUUGGGAAGGAGAAAAGAUUUGGGUCUCUGUGACUGCUGCCUAUUGACAGUAAAUAAAAGGCACAGGCAGACCUUGACCUGAUGGAGACCCACCCCCAAAACAAGGAUUUCUAGAGCACAAUCACCACAUUGAAAAGCCCUGUAAAGAGCGGCCUCCAACCAUAACCAUGGGGCCCUCUCACCUCUAGAGAUCAAUGUCCUCCUGUCCACUCAUCCCUACAUAAACAAUAACUCCACCACCAGGAGACC